UACGGAGGGUGCAAGCGUUGCUCGGAAUUAUUGGGCGUAAAGGGUAGGUAGGUGGUCUCAUUUGUCUGGGGUGAAGGCCUUGAGCUUAACUCAAGAAGUGCCCCAGAAACGGUGAGACUAGAGUCCUGGAGAGGGUCGUGGAAUUCCCGGUGUAGCGGUGAAAUGCGUAGAGAUCGGGAGGAACACCAGAGGCGAAGGCGGCGACCUGGACAGGUACUGACACUCAACUACGAAAGCGUGGGGAGCAAACAGG
rnacentral:rRNA from 1 species